GAUGAAGAACGCAGCGAAAUGCGAUAAGUAAUGUGAAUUGCAGAAUUCAGUGAAUCAUCGAAUCUUUGAACGCACCUUGCGCUCCUUGGUAUUCCGAGGAGCAUGCCUGUUUGAGAGUCAGUUUAUUCUCAGCCCCUCCAGCUUCUGUGUGAGCUGGCUUGGUGGUUUGGAUGUGGAGGUCUGCAGGUGUCCCCCACCUUAUUGUGGGGUGUCUGCUCCUCUGAAAUGCAUUAGCAGAACUGUUUGCAAUCUGUUGACUGGUGUGAUAAUUAUCUACGCCAAUGAAGAUUGCUCUCUGGAUGUUCAGCUUCAAACCAUUUUUCACUGUGUGUGAUAUAUAUGAACCUUUGACCUCAAAUCAGGUAGGACUACCCGCUGAACUUAAGCAUAUCAAUAAGCGGAGGA
rnacentral:misc_RNA from 1 species